rnacentral:lncRNA from 1 species
UUUAGCCUUUUUUUGUUUUUUAUUUCAGUUCCGCCCCAUACUUUAGACUUCACUUCGAUUUAGUCCCCUUUUAACAUUUACACCAUUUUCUUCAUAUUUGUAUCAUUAUCAUUAUUAUUAUUAUCAUUAUUAUUAUUGUUAAUGUUAUUAUUACUAGUAACUAUUAUUCAUUUGCUUAUACUUUUUAAAAACUUUAGGU